AGGGGGCAAGCGUUGUUCGGAAUUAUUGGGCGUAAAGCGCUCGUAGGCGGGACAGGAAGUUCGUGUUGAAAGACCUCGGCUCAACUGAGGGACCGGCUCGAAUACUCUUGUUCUUGAGGCAAUCAGAGGGUGAUGGAAUUCCCGGUGUAGCGGUGAAAUGCGUAGAGAUCUGGAGGAAUACCGGUGGCGAAGGCGGCCCCCUGGACAAAGACUGACGCUCAGGUGCGAAAGCGUGGGGAGCAAACAGG
rnacentral:rRNA from 1 species